rnacentral:rRNA from 1 species
GACGAACGCUGGCGGCGUGCCUAAUACAUGCAAGUCGAACGCUUCUUUCCUCCCGAGUGCUUGCACUCCAUUGGAAAGAGGAGUGGCGGACGGGUGAGUAACACGUGGGUAACCUACCCAUCAGAGGGGGAUAACACUUGGAAACAGGUGCUAAUACCGCAUAACAGUUUAUGCCGCAUGGCAUAAGAGUGAAAGGCGCUUUCGGGUGUCGUUGAUGGAUGGACCCGCGGUGCAUUAGCUAGUUGGUGAGGUAACGGCUCACCAAGGCCACGAUGCAUAGCCGACCUGAGAGGGUGAUCGGCCACACUGGGACUGAGACACGGCCCAGACUCCUACGGGAGGCAGCAGUAGGGAAUCUUCGGCAAUGGACGAAAGUCUGACCGAGCAACGCCGCGUGAGUGAAGAAGGUUUUCGGAUCGUAAAACUCUGUUGUUAGAGAAGAACAAGGACGUUAGUAACUGAACGUCCCCUGACGGUAUCUAAACAGAAAGCCACGGCUAACUACGUG